ensembl:misc_RNA Metazoa_SRP Metazoan signal recognition particle RNA
GCCUGGCACGGUGGCGCAUGCUACUUGGGAGGCUGAGGCUUAAGUAUCACUUGAGUCCAGGAGUUCUGGGCCACAGUGUGCUAUGUUGAUCAGGUGUCUGCACUAAGUUCGGCAUCAAUAUGGUGACCUCCCGGGAAUGGGGGACCACCAGGUUGCCUAAGGAGGGGUGAACCGGCCCAGAUCAGAAACAGCAGGUCAAGACUCCGGUGCUGAUCAGUAGUGGGAUCAUGCCUGUGAAUAGCCACUGCACUCCAGCCUGGACAACAUAGUGAGACCCCGUCUCUA